rnacentral:rRNA from 1 species
UCCCAGUUCGGAUCGGAGUCUGCAACCCGACUCCGUGAAGCUGGAUUCGCUAGUAAUCGCGCAUCAGCCAUGGCGCGGUGAAUACGUUCCCGGGCCUUGUACACACCGCCCGUCAAGCCAUGGGAGCCGGGGGUGCUUGAAGUGCGUCGCCGCAAGGCGCGCCCUAGAGCAAAACCGGUGACUGGGGCUAAGUCGUAACAAGGUAAC